AACUUUCAACAACGGAUCUCUUGGUUCUGGCAUCGAUGAAGAACGCAGCGAAAUGCGAUAAGUAAUGUGAAUUGCGCGUGUGAGUGGUGGGACAGAUCCAGUAAUGGGCGCAUCUCGCUUGUUGAGCUCUACCAGCCGUGGGAUCUUUGAUUCUGGGCCA
rfam:Rachicladosporium antarcticum strain CCFEE 5527 scaffold_18, whole genome shotgun sequence.